AUUGAACGCUGGCGGCAGGCCUAACACAUGCAAGUCGAGCGGAUGAAGGGAGCUUGCUCCUGGAUUCAGCGGCGGACGGGUGAGUAAUGCCUAGGAAUCUGCCUGGUAGUGGGGGAUAACGUCCGGAAACGGGCGCUAAUACCGCAUACGUCCUGAGGGAGAAAGUGGGGGAUCUUCGGACCUCACGCUAUCAGAUGAGCCUAGGUCGGAUUAGCUAGUUGGUGGGGUAAAGGCCUACCAAGGCGACGAUCCGUAACUGGUCUGAGAGGAUGAUCAGUCACACUGGAACUGAGACACGGCCCAGACUCCUACGGGAGGCAGCAGUGGGGAAUAUUGGACAAUGGGCGAAAGCCUGAUCCAGCCAUGCCGCGUGUGUGAAGAAGGUCUUCGGAUUGUAAAGCACUUUAAGUUGGGAGGAAGGGCAGUAAGUUAAUACCUUGCUGUUUUGACGUUACCAACAGAAUAAGCACCGGCUAACUUCGU
rnacentral:rRNA from 1 species